rnacentral:rRNA from 1 species
CCUACGGGUGGCAGCAGUGAGGAAUAUUGGUCAAUGGACGCAAGUCUGAACCAGCCAUGCCGCGUGCAGGAAGAGGGCUCUAUGAGGUGUAAACUGCUUUUGUAGGAGGGUAAACGCAGAUACGCGUAUCUGUCUGAAAGUAACGUACGAAUAAGGAGCGGCGCACACCGGGCCAGCAGCCGCGGUAAUACGGAGGAGUCAAGCGUUAUCCGGAUUUAUUGGGUUUAAAGGGUGCGUAGGCGGUCGGAUAAGUUAGAGGUGCCAUCCCGAGGCUCAACUUCGGAAUUGCCUCUGUUACUGUUCGGCUAGAGCGUAGUUGCGGUAGGCGGAAUGUCUGGUGUAGCGG